GGAGAGUUGGCUGAGUGGUCGAAGGCGCACGACUGGAAAUCGUGUUACGGUGGUAAGCCGUACUAGGGUUCAAAUCCCUAACUCUCCGCCA
rnacentral:tRNA from 1 species